GACGAACGCUGGCGGCGUGCUUAACACAUGCAAGUCGAGCGAUGAAGUUCCUUCGGGAAUGGAUUAGCGGCGGACGGGUGAGUAACACGUGGGUAACCUGCCUCAUAGAGGGGAAUAGCCUUCCGAAAGGAAGAUUAAUACCGCAUAAGAUCGUAGUUUCGCAUGAAACAGCAAUUAAAGGAGUAAUCCGCUAUGAGAUGGACCCGCGUCGCAUUAGCUAGUUGGUGAGGUAACGGCUCACCAAGGCGACGAUGCGUAGCCGACCUGAGAGGGUGAUCGGCCACAUUGGGACUGAGACACGGCCCAGACUCCUACGGGAGGCAGCAGUGGGGAAUAUUGCACAAUGGGGGAAACCCUGAUGCAGCAACGCCGCGUGAGUGAUGACGGUCUUCGGAUUGUAAAACUCUGUCUUCAGGGACGAUAAUGACGGUACCUGAGGAGGAAGCCACGGCUAACUACGUGCCAGCAGCCGCCGUAACAC
rnacentral:rRNA from 1 species